GAUGAACGCUGGCGGCGUGCCUAAUACAUGCAAGUAGAACGCUGAAGGAGGAGCUUGCUCUUCUGGAUGAGUUGCGAACGGGUGAGUAACGCGUAGGUAACCUGCCUGGUAGCGGGGGAUAACUAUUGGAAACGAUAGCUAAUACCGCAUGACAACAGUUAUUGCAUGAUAACUGUUUAAAAGGGGCAACUGCUCCACUACCAGAUGGACCUGCGUUGUAUUAGCUAGUUGGUGAGGUAACGGCUCACCAAGGCGACGAUACAUAGCCGACCUGAGAGGGUGAUCGGCCACACUGGGACUGAGACACGGCCCAGACUCCUACGGGGGGCAGCAGGAGGGAAUCUUCGGCAAUGGACGGAAGUCUGACCGAGCAACGCCGCGUGAGGGAAGAAGGGUUUCGGAUCGUAAAGCUCUGUUGUAAGAGAAGAACGAGUGUGAGAGUGGAAAGUUCACACUGUGACGGUAUCUUACCAGAAAGGGACGGCUAACUACGUG
rnacentral:rRNA from 1 species